CACGGAGUUAGCCGGUGCUUAUUCGUAUAGUACCUUCAGCUAGAUACACGUAUCUAGGUUUAUCCCUAUACAAAAGAAGUUUACAACCCAUAGGGCCGUCGUCCUUCACGCGGGAUGGCUGGAUCAGGCUCUCACCCCAUUGUCCAAUAUUCCUCACUGCUGCCUCCCGUAGGAGUCUGGUCCGUGUCUCAGUACCAGUGUGGGGGAUCACCCUCUCAGGCCCCCUAAAGAUCAUUGACUUGGUGAGCCGUUACCUCACCAACUAUCUAAUCUUGCGCGUGCCCAUCUCUAUCCACCGGAGUUUUCAAUAUUAAUUGAUGCCAAUCAAUAUAUUAUGGGGUAUUAAUCUUCCUUUCGAAAGGUCUAUCCCCCAGAUAAAGGCAGGUUGCACACGUGUUCCGCACCCGUGCGCCGCUCUCAGGAUUCCGAAGAAUCCCUACCGCUCGGCUUGCAUGUGUUAGGCCUCCCGCUAGCGUUCAUCCUGAGCCAGGAUCAAACUCU
rnacentral:rRNA from 1 species